GACUCGAUGGCGUAAGUGCUAACGCAUCCGCUUAUGGUACAUGGUGAAAAAUGCUAGACGUUAGGUGGAAGAGGCCGGUUCGAAUCCGGCUCGAGUCG